rnacentral:rRNA from 1 species
UGGGGAAUAUUGGACAAUGGGCGCAAGCCUGAUCCAGCCAUACCGCGUGGGUGAAGAAGGCCUUCGGGUUGUAAAGCCCUUUUGUUGGGAAAGAAAUCCAGCUGGUUAAUACCCGGUUGGGAUGACGGUACCCAAAGAAUAAGCACCGGCUAACUUCGUGCCAGCAGCCGCGGUAAUACGAAGGGUGCAAGCGCUACUCGGAAUUACUGGGCGUAAAGCGUGCGUAGGUGGUCGUUUAAGUCUGUUGUGAAAGCCCUGGGCUCAACCUGGGAACUGCAGUGGAAACUGGACGACUAGAGUGUGGUAGAGGGUAGCGGAAUUCCUGGUGUAGCAGUGAAAUGCGUAGAGAUCAGGAGGAACAUCCAUGGCGAAGGCAGCUACCUGGACCAACACUGACACUGAGGCACGAAAGCGUGGGGAGCAAACAGGAUUAGAUACCCUGGUAGUCCACGCCCUAAACGAUGCGAACUGGAUGUUGGGUGCAAUUUGGCACGCAGUAUCGAAGCUAACGCGUUAAGUUCGCCGCCUGGGGAGUACGGUCGCAAGACUGAAACUCAAAGGAAUUGACGGGGGUCAUAGCUG